rnacentral:rRNA from 1 species
AUUGAACGCUGGCGGCAUGCCUUACACAUGCAAGUCGAACGGCAGCACGGGAGCUUGCUCCUGGUGGCGAGUGGCGAACGGGUGAGUAAUACAUCGGAACGUACCAGGAGUGGGGGAUAACGUAGCGAAAGUUACGCUAAUACCGCAUAUUCUGUGAGCAGGAAAGCGGGGGAUCGCAAGACCUCGCGCUCUUGGAGCGGCCGAUGUCGGAUUAGCUAGUUGGUGAGGUAAAAGCUCACCAAGGCGACGAUCCGUAGCAGGUCUGAGAGGAUGAUCUGCCACACUGGGACUGAGACACGGCCCAGACUCCUACGGGAGGCAGCAGUGGGGAAUUUUGGACAAUGGGGGCAACCCUGAUCCAGCCAUGCCGCGUGAGUGAAGAAGGCCUUCGGGUUGUAAAGCUCUUUCGGCGGGGAAGAAAUGGCAACGGCUAAUAUCCGUUGUUGAUGACGGUACCCGCAUAAGAAGCACCGGCUAACUACGUGCCAGCAGCCGCGGUAACAC